rnacentral:rRNA from 1 species
UGGGGAAUAUUGCACAAUGGGCGCAAGCCUGAUGCAGCAACGCCGCGUGAGGGACGACGGCCUUCGGGUUGUAAACCUCUUUUGGCAGGGAAGAGGCGAAAGUGACGGUACCUGCAGAAAAAGCACCGGCUAACUACGUGCCAGCAGCCGCGGUGAUACGUAGGGUGCAAGCGUUGUCCGGAAUUAUUGGGCGUAAAGAGCUCGUAGGCGGUUUGUCGCGUCUGCUGUGAAAACCCGAGGCUCAACCUCGGGCCUGCAGUGGGUACGGGCAAACUAGAGUGCGGUAGGGGAGAUUGGAAUUCCUGGUGUAGCGGUGGAAUGCGCAGAUAUCAGGAGGAACACCGAUGGCGAAGGCAGAUCUCUGGGCCGUAACUGACGCUGAGGAGCGAAAGCAUGGGGAGCGAACA